rnacentral:rRNA from 1 species
GGCGGAACGCCUAACACAUGCUUGUCGAACGAAGUACCAAUACUUAGUGGCAGACGGGUGAGUAACAUGUGGGUAUCUACCCUUUGGCCUGGAAUAACACGAGGAAACUUGUGCUAAUACCGGAUAAGUCUUUACGGAGAAAGCUUUAUGCACCAUUGGAUGAGCCCGCACUUGAUUAGUUUGUUGGUAGGGUAAUGGCCUACCAAGACUAUGAUCAAUAGCUGAUUUGAGAGGAUGAUCAGCCACAUUGGGACUGAGACACGGCCCAAACUCCUACGGGAGGCAGCAGUGGGGAAUCUUGCACAAUGGAGGAAACUCUGAUGCAGCGAUGCCGCGUGAGUGAAGAAGGCCUUUGGGUUGUAAAGCUCUUUCGUCGGGGAAGAAAAUGAC